GACAGGGAAGUGGAAAGCUAUAGCAAAGCACAAGUGCGAUGACUUAGGCUAAAUGGCUGAUGAACAGCUUUUCUGUGAUUGUAAAUAAAAGAGUAAUUUUGCUCAAUGGUGGGCCUACUUAAGCAAAGCAAACUUGCUUGAGUGCUGCUCUGUAGGGGUCAGAUCAUUUAGAAAAUGCAAUGUUGGUGAGAAUUGAGGACAUCAUUGUGUUGAGUACCAGCACUCAGAAAACUGAGCUGAAACUACAGAUUUUAGGUAGCUACAGAUUCCACUAAUCAUCUCCACCAACAACCUUAUGCCAUGGUUGUUUUUGUUAAUGUUGCAGAGCAACAGAAUAAUUCAAUUCAAGUGAGAACCCAGAAGUCGUCUUGCUUAUCUGAACUACAGCUGCAUCUGCAAAACUGGACUGGAAAUCUGCAGAGGACGUGCUCUUCAUUAGAUUUCUAAUGUUUCCCUUUUCUAGUCAGGCUGGACUGAUGAGAGCAUCCUGCCCUUGUCCCUGGUUCCAGCCAGAGCCAAAAAGUGAGAUGCAUGUGAAAAUGAAAGGGGUAUGUGGAGCAAUAAUAAAGUCCCUCUUACCAUAUCUGAAAAAUGUCAUCUUGGAUUUCAUGAAAGAGAGCAAGAAUGAACAUUACUGGCUGCAGACUCACUGGAGAAAAGGAGGGAAGGAGAAAAGAAACAACAUUUGGUCUAACAGACCUCUUUUUGUCUGCUGGAGAAAAACAGUCUUGGAGCAGCAGCACCAGAGGAAGUGAUAAACUAAGAAGGUCAGCAAAGUGUUAUGAAGGUCAUUGGAAGUCAUAUGGCUCCUGAGGCAGGAUUGCUGACUGAGCACUUGCCAGCCCCUCCAUAUCCAUAUCCCUCAACCUGUCUUACAUGCGCAGUGGAGCAAAUUUGAGGGGAGGAAUGGAGGAAGAUGCUGCUUUUUCUGGCCUGGGAUGACUACUGCCUGUGUGCUAAGUUUUCUCCUUCUGCACAGCAGCUGGAAUGGCUUCUGGUUUUCUUUCAUCCCUGCCCAGCUGGGAUUCUUCAGCAUCACCCAUGGGAUGGUAUGAGUGUAUUUACCACACAAGCAUAGAACCACAGAGAAUUUUCCCUCUUUAGCUUGACUUGAGCUGUUGAGGCAUGAGAGAUUUGCUGGAGAACAUUUGGCUAUAUGUUUUCCUCUUAGUGUUUCUUUAACAACUUGAGAAUGACCCAGUGUCAGGACGCACAGGGACAGAAGUUAUUCUAUAUCCUCUGGGCUGCAAUGUUAGUGUUGAAUUAACAAAGUUUGGCUUUGUGCAUAACUACAUAGAGCAAUUACAUGCUUCUACCUCUGCAUGAUUCCUCCAUCUGUUGUAACUGCCACAGUUUAUAAAUAAAUAAAUAAAUAAAGGCUUAUAUUGCUGUGAAACUCUUCUUUGAUACAGAUAUAGAUUGAGCAUUGGAGAGCUUCUGUAAAAAGCUGUUUGUGGUUUUUAUUAUUAUUAUUAUUUUUUCCAAACCACAGCCUAGCUGACUUCCCAGUAAUUCCUUUUUUUUUUUUUUUCCCAAAAACUAUUAAAAAUACUACAAAUACAAAGGUACUUCAAUCUUCAUGAAAACGAUGUAUAUGAAAAAAUUACCUGCAUUAGACUUGUCUGUCUUUUGUCUGUGAGGAAUGGAAACUUUUCCUGUUAUUCCUUCUCUAUUUGCGUGUGUGUGAAUAAAUUCAUAUUUGUAUUUAUGCAUUUAUAUAUAUGAAUAUAGAAAAUUAUAUGUAUGUAAAAGCACUAUGUAAAGCACUUGAAUGUCACUAUUACUCAGAAAUGCUCUCUCAUCUCUGUCUUUCCAUUGUUUAGUUCUGUAACAUUUUCUCCCCACAGUCUGCCUUCUGAAAUGGGAGUGCAUUGGGAUCCACUUUGUUGAUUUAUCUGUAGUUAUCUCUUUAGACAUUCGUAAUUUACUCCCCAAACAUUGGAGGAGUGCAAUUAAAUUAUAGAACUGUAGAGCAUUACUGGCCAGAAGCCAAACUGUACUUCAGGGGAAUUCAUCACAACUUAUAAGGUAAAGGAGGGCUGGUCCAAUCCACAGCUGGAUGUUAAAACCUCUGAGGAACACCCAGGUGCUGAGGAAAGUGGGUCUGAUGAUUUAACACCUGUCUUUCUAUGUGCAGAGCUGUGUCUGCUUGGUGUGCUACUGACGCUGUUUCUAAGUAAACAUUAAACUGAGGUUUUUCUGACAUUGGUAACUCACUGUCUUCCAGCUUUGGUUAGAUGAAGACAAGCCACAGUCAAAACCUCUGAAGCAAAAUAAAUAGAAGUGUAUAUUUUCUAAGAGGCUGCCUGCAAUAUAGUAAGACAUUCAGUCCUUCCUUAAUGUUAAGGAUGCAGAAUAAGGAAAACAAAGCUACACAGUUAUA